AGUCGACGCUUCUUUUUCCACCGGAGCUUGCUCCACCGGAAAAAGAAGAGUGGCGAACGGGUGAGUAACACGUGGGUAACCUGCCCAUCAGAAGGGGAUAACACUUGGAAACAGGUGCUAAUACCGUAUAACAAUCAAAACCGCAUGGUUUUGAUUUGAAAGGCGCUUUCGGGUGUCGCUGAUGGAUGGACCCGCGGUGCAUUAGCUAGUUGGUGAGGUAACGGCUCACCAAGGCCACGAUGCAUAGCCGACCUGAGAGGGUGAUCGGCCACAUUGGGACUGAGACACGGCCCAAACUCCUACGGGAGGCAGCAGUAGGGAAUCUUCGGCAAUGGACGAAAGUCUGACCGAGCAACGCCGCGUGAGUGAAGAAGGUUUUCGGAUCGUAAAACUCUGUUGUUAGAGAAGAACAAGGAUGAGAGUAACUGUUCAUCCCUUGACGGUAUCUAACCAGAAAGCCACGGCUAACUACGUGCCAGCAGCCGCGGUAAUACGUAGGUGGCAAGCGUUGUCCGGAUUUAUUGGGCGUAAAGCGAGCGCAGGCGGUUUCUUAAGUCUGAUGUGAAAGCCCCCGGCUCAACCGGGGAGGGUCAUUGGAAACUGGGAGACUUGAGUGCAGAAGAGGAGAGUGGAAUUCCAUGUGUAGCGGUGAAAUGCGUAGAUAUAUGGAGGAACACCAGUGGCGAAGGCGGCUCUCUGGUCUGUAACUGACGCUGAGGCUCGAAAGCGUGGGGAGCAAACAGGAUUAGAUACCCUGGUAGUCCACGCCGUAAACGAUGAGUGCUAAGUGUUGGAGGGUU
rnacentral:rRNA from 1 species